rnacentral:rRNA from 1 species
AGUGAACGCUGGCGGUAGGCCUAACACAUGCAAGUCGAACGGCAGCACAGUAAGAGCUUGCUCUUACGGGUGGCGAGUGGCGGACGGGUGAGGAAUACAUCGGAAUCUACUUUUUCGUGGGGGAUAACGUAGGGAAACUUACGCUAAUACCGCAUACGACCUACGGGUGAAAGCAGAGGAUCUUCGGACCUUGCGCGAUUGAAUGAGCCGAUGUCGGAUUAGCUAGUUGGCGGGGUAAAGGCACACCAAGGCGACGAUCCGUAGCUGGUCUGAGAGGAUGAUCAGCCACACUGGAACUGAGACACGGUCCAGACUCCUACGGGAGGCAGCAGUGGGGAAUAUUGGACAAUGGGCGCAAGCCUGAUCCAGCCAUACCGCGUGGGUGAAGAAGGCCUUCGGGUUGUAAAGCCCUUUUGUUGGGAAAGAAAAGCAGCAGGUUAAUACCCCGCUGUUCUGACGGUACCCAAAGAAUAAGCACCGGCUAACUUCGUG